GCAAGUCGAACGGAUAUCUUCGGAUCUGAGUGGCGAACGGGUGAGUAACACGUAGGGAACCUGCCUGCAUGAGCGGGAGAACUUCUGGAAACGGAAGCUGAUACCGGAUGAGCAAAGAGGAGGCAUCUUCUUUUUGGAAAAGGGGACAAGAGUCCCGCAUGCAGAUGGACCUGCGGUGCAUUAGCUGGUUGGAGAGGUAACGGCUCACCAAGGCGACGAUGCAUAGCCGGCCUGAGAGGGUGGCC
rnacentral:rRNA from 1 species